AUUGAACGCUGGCGGCAUGCCUUACACAUGCAAGUCGAACGGCAGCACGGGAGCAAUCCUGGUGGCGAGUGGCGAACGGGUGAGUAAUAUAUCGGAACGUGCCCGGUCGUGGGGGAUAACGUAGCGAAAGCUACGCUAAUACCGCAUACGAUCUACGGAUGAAAGCGGGGGAUCGCAAGACCUCGCGCGAUUGGAGCGGCCGAUAUCAGAUUAGGUAGUUGGUGAGGUAAAGGCUCACCAAGCCGACGAUCUGUAGCUGGUCUGAGAGGACGACCAGCCACACUGGGACUGAGACACGGCCCAGACUCUACGGAGGCAGCAGUGGGGAAUUUGGACAAUGGGCGCAAGCCUGAUCCAGCAAU
rnacentral:rRNA from 1 species